CUGGCUGUCAGCUGGCACUAUAUAAGUAAAGCAGGCACCGUGCCUGGCCAGUGCUUAGGCGACUCUCGCGCCUCGAUGUGAUGUCAUUUAAAAUUCGUGAGAUGACUUCGCGGGAAACUGGCUGUCAGCUGGCACUAUAUAAGUAAAGGAGGCAUAAUGCCUGGCCAGUGCUUAGGCGACUCUCGCGCCUCGAUGUGAUGUCAUUUAAAAUUCGUGAGAUGACUUCGC